UUUUAACUUUAAAGUGUCUCUGUAACCACAUUGUGCGUUACUCUGUCGCAACAUUGGAUGUACCGACGCAACAUUGGGUGUACCGAGAAAUGAAAUGUGUCGGCCAACUUUUGUAUUUUUCACAUGUGUUAGUCUUUGGAAAUGAGUCCCAUACCUAAGUCAAAAAUUCAAAGUUCUUUACUGUACGUGUCAGACAUUAUCUGGGUUUCCAACGGCGAACAUUUGACCAAAUAAUUUGUGGGUUUUAAGGGAGCACUCGUUAGUUACUUUAUAUAAACCACACCUCACAUCGAAAGUAGAUUGAAUAUGGAAGCUGCAGAAAUAUAUAUACACAUAUGUUCUCCAAAAUUAGAACAAGUUAAGCCGUUACUUGUACUCAUCAACAUUUAAGUUCAAUCUAGGUAGAUGGUUCGGAUUAACAAGGAGCAGUUGCUUUGGUGUGAAGUGAAAUGAGCAAAGCAAGGAGAUCGGUCUCCAAUCUUCUCCCCGUGUUAAACCCUAAGACUGCAGUACGUGGGUUCUAAGGGAGCACUCGUUAGUUACUUUAUAAACCACACCUCACAAUGGAAGUAGAUUGAACUUUGAGGCUGCAGAAAUAUAUAUCCAGGAGGAUGGUUAGGAUUAACAAGGAGCAGUUGCUUUGGUGCGAAGAGAAAAUGAGCAAAACAAGAAUGAGAGAGAUCGUUCUCCAAUCUUCUUCCCGUGUUAAAUCCUAAGAUUUUGCUAUCUGAUGGGAUGUUAUAGUGAUUAUAUACGGUAUAUAAAAAGUAUAAAUGUACGUGGAUAUAGGUGUAUAGCAGAUAUGUACAAGUUAAUGUCAUUUUUGGUUAUUUGGUGGUUGCUACAUUUGUAUAAAUAACGGAAUAGGGAAUAGAGCAAUCGUUUAGACAUUGGAGUGGAUUCACGUGCUGAUGGAUUAUUUCAAUAUUCUAC